CCUACGGGAGGCAGCAGUGGGGAAUAUUGGGCAAUGGAGGCAACUCUGACCCAGCAACGCCGCGUGAAUGAUGAAGGUCUUCGGAAUGUAAAGUUCUUUUCUAAGGGAAGAAGAAAGUGACGGUACCUUAGGAAUAAGCCUCGGCUAACUACGUGCCAGCGGCAGCGGCAAUACGUAGGAGGCAAGCGUUAUCCGGAAUGACUGGGCGUAAAGGGUGCGUAGGCGGUCGGAUAAGUUAGAGGUGAAAUCCCGAGGCUCAACCUCGGAAUUGCCUCUGAUACUGUGCGGCUAGAGAGUAGGUGCGGUAAGCGGAAUGUAUGGUGUAGCGGUGAAAUGCUUAGAGAUCGUGCAGAACACCGAUUGCGAAGGCAGCUUACCGGGCUACUUCUGACGUUGAGGCACGAAAGCGUGGGUAGCGAACAGGAUUAGAUACCCCGGUAGUC
rnacentral:rRNA from 1 species